UAGCUUUAACCUGGCGCCAGGAAAGAACCUAAUCGGAAUAAGGCCCUGCUGAGUUCAGUAAGGGACUGUUUCGUUAGGUCGAGAAGCUCGGGAUCGUCUAAUUCCACACCCCACACACAUACCUUAGUGUCCGGUGGUCUUCUGUAGUGGUGAAAACGAGGUACCUGAGACAGAAUGGAUCAUUCAGCUUCCAGCCCGAAGACACCCAGCCCCUCACGUUGAUACCUUUUCCCCAGUUCUUACUUCCCUCUCCUUGGUCCUUACUCACCAUGUCUGGCUGGAGGCGACCCAGAUGCCAUGUGAUGGUCAUUUGAAGACAGGACUUCUGGAUAUCAGACAAAGAAUUAUAGUCUCUUAGUUAUUCAAUGGAGAAUAAGAGAAGUCCUGAGCUGGGCCUGGUGGCACACGCCUGUAACCUAACACUACGGAGAUCGAGGUGGGAAGAACACGAGUUCAAGGCCAGCUUUCAUUACAAAGAGCUCCGGGAACCAUGCAUCGUAGUGAAAAGGGACCACGGGGAGAUUACGGAGAUCGGGGGAAGCCACCCACCAGCCAAGGCACUCUUCUGGCCCCAGAAGAUCUGAUCAAAGUCUUCCAGACGGUUCCAGCUUCUCAGGAGGGUGUAAACACGUUUGAGACCCAUUUCCAGAACCCUAGGACAGGUGUUAAGACAUGACCCCAUCAUCUGACCCUUAGCUUCUCACUAAAUACCACCGCGCUUGGGUCUCCCUGCUCCCAUGCCCGAAGCUUCCUAGCUCUUUCCUUACCCUGCCUUCAGUGUCCAUUCAAAGUCCAGCCUCUUCUCCUCAUGGAAUCUCAUAUUCAGAGGUCUUCGCCCACUUGCCCAAGGUGAAUUGCUGCCUGCUCACCAGUCCCCUCCGGCAGGCUCAGUUCUCCGUCUCCCUGCACCCAGCGGUAGCAGGGGAACACCGCCUCUGCACUUGUUCCGGGCCCCUGAACUGUAAUGAGGUUGCAGAACCAGGCGUCGUCCACCACUGUGUGCUGUUUGUGCAGCUUCACAAACUGCAGUGGCCCCAAGUCCUCAGGAACAUCGAAGUCAAACUCUUCCUCCUGUGGGGAUCAGAUUCCCCAGACUUAGUAGCAGGAAUUGGAAGAAGCCUUUCGGAGACGGAACCGCCCUUAUGGAGCCUCAGUUUACCGCAGCCAUCAAACACCUCUCACUCCCAUUCUCCCUCCCUCUUCCACCCCUAACCUGUCUGGUGGGUCUAAGGUAUUCCGUUUCUGUGGGGAGACCAGAGCCGACAGCACGCUGAGCAGCGAGCAUCAUCAUCACCUGUCUCCUGCUCGCUGAGCUCCCACCACACUGGAGCUCUGGAGCUUCAUGACUGACCACAAGUCCUGUUUUUACGUUGGCUUUGGGGCACUUUAUUCAGGAGGAAUCAGAGGCUGCCUGGGCUGGGGUCCGGGAAAAGGAGACCAGCCCAUGCCAGUUGUUGACCUCACUCCCGGUGUCCUACCUCCACAAAACUCCAUUGCGGUCGUGAGGUCACAGCCCCUAGCCUCCUGUCCCUUGCCAACCUCCCACGCCCAGCCCGGACACUGGGGGACCCAGCUCUUGCCCGCUAACCUUGCCCCGCGCGGGCCUCAGCGGUAGCUCCAGCUUCACCUCCCGAUGGGCCCCAACCAGCCACAGCUCCACUCGGUUGAGGGAUCCCGAGAAGAGCCAGGCCCCAGUGACCACACGGACGCGGUAGCGGCCCAUGGCACCCUCUGGCCUCUCCGGAGGCAACCCAAGUGAAGCUCAAUUCGAAGACCGCCCAGGGCCACCGUCGCCUCAGGGCCAGUUCGGAGGCUUUAAAAGAUGGGUUUGUGUCCCCGCCCUCACAAUUCUAGGCACUCCUCCCUAGUCCCCGCCCUAGACUAGCCUGAACCUGCUAGUCUAGCAGGCUUUGGGGAAGGGCUAUGCCUUUGAGAGAAACUAAAGGUGAUCUGGCAGUGUGUGUGUGUGUGUGUGUGUGU